rnacentral:rRNA from 5 species
GGUUGACCUCGGAUCAGGUAGGAAUACCCGCUGAACUUAAGCAUAUCAAUAAGCGGAGG